UUACAUGAUCGAACUGAAUAUUUAGGUAGACUCCACCCUCUAUGAUUCUAGGUCAGUGACGCGGACUUAAUCACCUCACGUACGCAUAGCUCCGCCCACAUCUGACUCUGGAUCGGUGCACGAAAAUACUGGAGAGAAGCCUGAAGUCGAAGCCAUCAUGGCCGCCAGCUCCGACUCCCUCCCGUUGGGGGAGAUUGAACGGGCUGUAACGGCAGGUGUGCGGGCUGAGGCUCCGCUUUAAACUGCCGUUCUGUCGUAAACACCAUUAAUGAGGAGUCAAGUAGGUUUAAAAAGAAUAUUUCUGUGGCGCCGGUGGAGAAUUAGUUGGCUAACUAUACUAGCUAGCCGAAGUUACGUCCAGGCUAAAAACAAAAGUUUCCAGAUCAGAUGUGGGCGGGGUUUGCGCGCACUGUUUGAGGUGAUUGAGUUCGCGUGUCUGAUCUUAGACCUGCGCUGUUUGACGGUAGGGGUGGAGUCUACUUGCCCAUUCAUGAAUAUUCAGUUUACACUCGGCGAACAUUUAACAUUUACAUUUAACAUUUACAUUUAACAUUUACAUUUAACAUUUAGGUUUAACAUUUAACAUUUACAUUUAGACUUUUGCACGUUUAACUAAAUGUGAGAAAACAUGUUGUGUCAUUAAGUUAAAAGUGAGAAACUAGUUAUAGGUGCUCCUUUUACAUUCGGCACCCCAUAGUGAUGCCUCUGAUGGACACAGAUCUGAGACAGAGACAAUGUCCUUCGUCUUCUCCUCUGUUAGAGAGCAGGUAGGAAGUCUCCCAUGUACCACAUAUCUGCCAAAGCUCUUGUGUUUGUACUCGGACAACACCGAUGCUUUUGCCUCUAAAUAGGAGUGUGUCACAUCUACCUCAAUAGGUUCACAAGAUUCAACACAUCAUUGCAUUGUGUUUCAAGGAGGUCUCUGCGGAACACGUGCACAUGGAAGGUUUUCCUACUAGAUGGAGGUCAACACCACUGAUUAUGUGAAGAGUCUCCCAAACCCAGCAGCACAGAGGGAGCAGUGAUAAAGACACUUCCUCUACGUGGUUGGGACUGGGAGACUCCCCUCUGUCGGGACCGGAGGCUGGAGGGAGCAAAGAGCUGAAGGAUGCUAGAAGAAACAUCACAAACAGAUGUGUUGUUAACAUACCAGUCUGCAUUGAGAUGUUAAGCUUAUCACCACUUUACUACUCAGGUGAUUACUUACAGCAUUGAGCCUCCGUAUGCACGGCUGACAACUUCUCUCCAGGUAGCUAUGGUGUCUGUUGUGUCCAUCCUCCACAGCUGCACCUGUCGCAACCAAAAUGAAAACAUUGGCUUCAGGAGUACAUGACGUAAAGUACAGACUACGAAUAAGCCACGAUAUGUCAUUCUUACUGAAUGUAAUUGUGCAGCCGUAGUUCCUGCAAUCGCUCUGACAUCUCCUUGGACUGCAGGACCAUGGUCCAGAUCGGUCGUCUCUGGUAAAGUGAAAGCAUUAGAAUGCAGAGGACGUGCCGUAGCAAAGUUGAUCGCCACACCCCUUUGAGGAAGCGCAUAGCCGUGAUCCACCGAGGAAUCAAACGUCACGGUCACUGAAUCCACUGUAACAGCAAAACUGGCUAACUCGUCCUCGUAGUGGAGUUCAACCAUACGUUUGAUCCAAAAUCUGAGUCUGAAGUCGAAUGGGAGGCUGUGCAAGUGGUUACACUUCGACUGGCCCAAGUCGUUGCAGGUAUCUAGUCUAGAGAAGUCUUGUUAGCUGGUGCUGGGGACUUCUAGGGCAAAGAGUCCAAGCUGUCCCAUCCCAUCUUCCCUGGUCCUGUGGAUCAGGGCAGUGUUUCCUGUUGGACUUAGACCACCUGUGAAAUAAAUAAAUUACUGUUUUCGUUGCAAUACCUCAAUAAAAGUUGAAAUAUUAUAAAACAUUUGUCUGUUUUCCCCUCAUUAAAAAAUAGUUCGGUGAAACAGCAAUAGUCAAAGCUAACUUUAUUGUCAACCAAUGCACCAGCACUAUAAUGCUGAAUAAGUUACCUUCACAAUUUAAUGUGCAGGUAGAGUAGCCUGAUGGAUUAAUGAAAGGAAGUAGGGUAAACAGACCACAAAAUGAAUGGGUAGGAUUCAUAGUUAUG